rnacentral:rRNA from 1 species
AUUGAACGCUGGCGGCAGGCCUAACACAUGCAAGUCGAACGAGUGGCGGACGGGUGAGUAAUGUCUGGGAAACUGCCUGAUGGAGGGGGAUAACUACUGGAAACGGUAGCUAAUACCGCAUCCCAUCCGAUGUGCCCAGAUGGGAUUAGCUUAUUUGUGGGGUAACGGCACACAUAGGCGACGAUCCCUAGCUGGUCUGAUAGGAUGACCAGACACACGGGAAACGAGACACGGUCCAGACUCCUACGUGAGGCAGCAGGGGGGAAUAGUGCACAAUGGGCGAAAGCCUGAUGCAGCCAGGCCGCGUGUAUGAAGAAGGCCUUCGGGGUGUAAAGUACUUUCAGCGGGGAGGCGUUACCCGCAGAAGAAGCACCGGCUAACUCCGUGCCAGCAGCCGCGGUAAUUC